GGAAGCGUGGCCGAGCGGUUGAAGGCACCGGUCUUGAAAACCGGCGACCCGAAAGGGUUCCAGAGUUCGAAUCUCUGCACUUCCGCCA
rnacentral:tRNA from 1 species